rnacentral:rRNA from 2 species
ACAUGACAGUCAAUUUUUUCGAGAGUUUGAUCCUGGCUCAGGAUGAACGCUGGCUGUGUGCCUAAUACAUGCAUGUCGAGCGGAGUUCUUCGGAACUUAGCGGCGAAUGGGUGAGUAACACGUACUUAACAUACCCUUUAGAUUGGAAUAACGAUUAGAAAUGAUCGCUAAUGCCGGAUACUUAUAUUUAUCGCAUGAAAAAUAUAUAAAAGGAGCGUUUGCUUCGCUAGAGGAUUGGGGUGCGUAACAUUAGCUAGUUGGUAGGGUAAUGGCCUACCAAGGCUAUGAUGUUUAGCGGGGUUGAGAGACUGAUCCGCCACACUGGGACUGAGAUACGGCCCAGACUCCUACGGGAGGCAGCAGUAGGGAAUUUUCCACAAUGGACGAAAGUCUGAUGGAGCGACACAGCGUGCAGGAUGACGGCCUUCGGGUUGUAAACUGCUGUUAUAAGGGAAGAAAAAAUAAAGUAGGAAAUGACUUUAUCUUGACGGUACCUUGUCAGAAAGCAACGGCUAACUAUGUGCCAGCAGCCGCGGUAAUACAUAGGUUGCAAGCGUUAUCCGGAAUUAUUGGGCGUAAAGCGUCUGUAGGUUGUUUGUUAAGUCUGACGUGAAAACUUGGGGCUCAACCCCAAAUUGCGUUGGAUACUGGCGAACUAGAGUUAUGAAGAGGUUAGCGGAAUUCCUUGUGAAGCGGUGAAAUGCGUAGAUAUAAGGAAGAACACCAAUUUGGCGAAGGCAGCUAACUGGGCAUACACUGACACUGAGAGACGAAAGCGUGGGGAGCAAACAGGAUUAGAUACCCUGGUAGUCCACGCUGUAAACGAUGAUGAUUAGCUGAUGGGGAACUCAUCGGCACAGCUAACGCAUUAAAUCAUCCGCCUGAGUAGUAUGCUCGCAAGAGUGAAACUUAAAGGAAUUGACGGGGAUCCGCACAAGCGGUGGAGCAUGUGGUUUAAUUUGAUUCUACGCGUAGAACCUUACCCACUCUUGACAUCUUCCGCAAAGCUAUAGAGAUAUAGUGGAGGUCAACGGAAUGACAGAUGGUGCAUGGUUGUCGUCAGCUCGUGUCGUGAGAUGUUCGGUUAAGUCCUGCAACGAGCGCAACCCUUGUCCUUAGUUAAAUGUUCUAAGGAGACUGCCCGAGUAAUUGGGAGGAAGGUGGGGACGACGUCAAAUCAUCAUGCCUCUUACGAGUGGGGCAACACACGUGCUACAAUGGACGGUACAAAGAGACGCAAUACGGCGACGUGGAGCAAAUCUCAAAAAACCGUUCUCAGUUCGGAUUGUAGUCUGCAACUCGACUACAUGAAGUCGGAAUCGCUAGUAAUCGUAGAUCAGCUACGCUACGGUGAAUACGUUCUCGGGUCUUGUACACACCGCCCGUCACACCAUGGGAGCUGGUAAUGCCCGAAGUCGGUUUUGUUAACUACGGAGACAACUGCCUAAGGCAGGACUGGUGACUGGGGUGAAGUCGUAACAAGGUAUCCCUACGAGAACGUGGGGAUGGAUUACCUCCUUUCUA